UGGGGGAUUUUGCACAAUGGGCGCAAGCCUGAUGCAGCGACGCCGCGUGAGGGAUGAAGGCCUUCGGGUUGUAAACCUCUUUCGCUGGGUUGAAAGGCCAUGUUUUGGGUGUGGUUGAUUUGAACUGGUAAAGAAGUACCGGCUAACUACGUGCCAGCAGCCGCGGUAAUACGUAGGGUACUAGCGUUGUCCGGAUUUAUUGGGCGUAAAGGGCUUGUAGGUGGUUUGUCGCGUCUGUCGUGAAAUCCUGUGGCUUAACCAUGGGCUUGCGGUGGGUACGGGCAGGCUUGAGUGCGGUAGGGGAGACUGGAAUUCCUGGUGUAGCGGUGGAAUGCGCAGAUAUCAGGAGGAACACCGGUGGCGAAGGCGGGUCUCUGGGCCGUUACUGACACUGAGGAGCGAAAGCGUGGGGAGCGAACAGG
rnacentral:rRNA from 1 species